rnacentral:lncRNA from 1 species
CAAUAUCUUAAUAUUUUUAAAAAUAUAAAAGUUUAAUUGUACAUAUAUCUAUAUUAUAUAUAAAAACGUAUAAAAAUUAUUAUAAUGACAGAUGGAAUAAAAAAAUAAAAAAAUAUUUUCUAGGAACAAUUAUUAUCAGAUUUAUUAGAAUUUGAAAAAUAUAUAAAAACAUUCAAUGCAUAUUUAACUAUACUAUAUUUGAAAGCGUGUAAAAAAUCUUACAAUAACAUGUAGGGCCUGUUUGGCCUAGCUUAUAAAAAAGUGAUUUUUGAUAAAGUGAUUUUGAUUAAAAGCUGUAGAGUAUUUGGCGGAGUUUAGAUAAAAGUGACUUUUCUGAAGAUAUUUUAAAAAACUAUUUGACAAAUUUUUUUUGAUGUUUGCAUAAAUUAAUAUUUUUAUUAAAUUUUAUUUUAAAAUCUAAAUUUAAAUUUGAAUUAAAAUUAAAAUUUUUAAAUUUCAAAAUUGUACCAAAUUUAAAAUUUGAUAUUGUAAUUUAAAAAAUAAUUUAAAAUUUUAAAAAUUUAAAAUUUAAAAUAAUUAUGAAAUUUAAAAUUUAAAAAUAUAAAUAUAAAUUUAAAAGUAUAUAUAAUUAUGAAUUUUGAAUUAUAAAAUUUUAAUAUAAAAAAAUUAAAAUUAAAAUUAAAAUUUCAAAUUUUAUAUUUAGAAUUUAAAAUUUAAAAUUUAAAAUCUAAAUUUAAAAUUUGAAAUUUAAAAUUUAAAAUUUAAAUGUAAAAAUAUAAAUAAUUAUGAAAUUUAAAAUAUAAAAUAUUAAUAUUUAAAAAUAUAUUUAAAUUUUAAAAUUAAAAUUUAAAAUUUAAAUUUUGAAUUUUAAAAUAAUUAUGAAAUUUAAAAUUUGAAUAUUUAAUAUUUAAAUAGCGCUUUUUAAAAAUUCAAAAUUUAUAAUUUGAAGAUUAAAAAUUAUAAUUUAAAAUUUAAAAAUUUUAAAAUUUAAAAUCUAAUAAAAAUUUAAAAUUUAAAAUUUGAAAUUUGAAAAUUUAAAAUUUAAAUUUGAAAUUUGAAAUUUUAUAUUUUAAAUUUUAAAAUCUGAAAUUUGAGAUUUGAAAUUUAAAAUUUAAAUUUAAAAUUUAAAGUUUGAAAUCUAUUUUUUAAAAUUUAAAAUUUAAAAUUUAAAAGUUAAAAUUUAAAAAUUUAAAAAUGAAUCUGAAAAUUAAAAUUUAAAAUUAAAUUUAAAUUUAAAUAUUGAAAUUAAAAUAAAAAUAAAAAUUUGAAGUUUAAAUCCAAAAUCAGAAUCAGAUUUCAAAAAGCAGUUUUUUUCUGCUUCUGAUUCUGCGCCUUCAAAAUCAAUUUUUUGAUUUUAAAAAGCAGAAUUAGAUUUUAAAAAUGAGUUGCCAAAUCCUCUAAUAGAAUAAAAAAAAAGAAUAAAAGAAUAUUCAUUUGGUAUUUAAUCUUGAAAUUUAAUAAAAAAAUUUUAAUUUAAGAAUAAUAUUAAAUAACAGUGUUUAAAAGGAUAAAAUUAUCUUAAUACUAUCUACUAAUAUUUUAGUUUUUAUAUUAAUUUUUUAUUGAUUGGAACCAACAAUCAAAUUUAAAAUUUUAAUUCCAAAUAUAUAUUUUUAAAUUUUAAUCUUAUAUAAUUUAAAUUUAUAUUUAUGAAAAUUUUAAAUGAAAAUUAAAAUUGAGUUUAAAUCAUUUAACUAAAGUAAAUCAAAAAUAAAUUUUGAUUUUUGAAUUAAAUAUGAAUUAAAAUUUUUGUAUUUUAGUUUAAAAUACAUAAAUUUUGAAUUUAUCAGAAUUGAAAACAUACAGAAAUAUUCAAUAUAAAUUUAAAAAAAAGUAAAACUAUAUAAUUAUUGUUGGAGCAACCAUGUAAAUUUGAAUGAGUAUUUUUUAAGUAAAUAUAAUAUACAAAUGCAUGUUGAUAAGAGAUAAUUAUUAUAAUAAUUAUGACUUGUAUUUAUACGUACAAUCAACUAGUUAUUAUUAUUUAUAUAUAUUAUUAUUCAAAUUCAUUUUUAGCGGAUAUAAUUAUAAAAAUAUAACAUUUGAUGUAUAUCUACAUACGAAUUUGCUUUCAAAAAAAUAUAGGAAAAACUUCAAAUACCCCACUUGUGAUUUCACUUUUUCUCACUUUAGUACCCUAUGAUUUAAAGUGUAUCAAGUUAGUACCUUAUGAUUUCACACUUUCUCACUUUAGUAUCCUGUAAUUUAAUAUUUCAUUAAGAAAAAAAUAAAAUCACAGGAUACUAAUUUGAUAUAAAAAUAAAACCACAUGGUACUAACUUGAUAUAAAAAAAAAAAACACAGAGUACUAAUUUGAUACACUUUAAACCACAGCAUACUAAAGUGAGAAAGUGCAAAACUACAUGACACUAACUUGAUACACUUUAAACCACAAGGCACUAAAAUGAAAAAAAUACGAAACCACACAGGGUUUUCUGAAGUUUUCCCAAACAUAUAUAAAU